GACGAACGCUGGCGGCGUGCUUAACACAUGCAAGUCGAACGGAAAGGCCCUGCUUUUGUGGGGUGCUCGAGUGGCGAACGGGUGAGUAACACGUGAGUAACCUGCCCUUGACUUUGGGAUAACUUCAGGAAACUGGGGCUAAUACCGGAUAGGAGCUCCUGCUGCAUGGUGGGGGUUGGAAAGUUUCGGCGGUUGGGGAUGGACUCGCGGCUUAUCAGCUUGUUGGUGGGGUAGUGGCUUACCAAGGCUGUGACGGGUAGCCGGCCUGAGAGGGUGACCGGCCACAUUGGGACUGAGGUACGGCCCAGACGCCUACGGGAGGCAGCGGUGGGGAAUAUUGCAGAGUGGGCGGAAGCGUGAUGCAGCAACGCCGCGUGCGGGAUGACGGCCUUCGGGUUGUAAACCGCUUUCGCCUGUGACGAAGCGUGAGUGACGGUAAUGGGUAAAGAAGCACCGGCUAACUACGUG
rnacentral:rRNA from 1 species